rnacentral:rRNA from 1 species
AUUGAACGCUGGCGGCAUGCCUUACACAUGCAAGUCGAACGGCAGCACGGGUGCUUGCACCUGGUGGCGAGUGGCGAACGGGUGAGUAAUAUAUCGGAACGUACCUUAUUGUGGGGGAUAACGCAGCGAAAGCUGUGCUAAUACCGCAUAAUCCCUAAGGGGGAAAGCGGGGGACCGUAAGGCCUCGCGCAAUUAGAGCGGCCGAUACCUGAUUAGCUAGUUGGUGAGGUAAAGGCUCACCAAGGCAACGAUCAGUAGCUGGUCUGAGAGGACGAUCAGCCACGCUGGGACUGAGACACGGCCCAGACUCCUACGGGAGGCAGCAGAGGGGAAUUUUGGACAAUGGGGGCAACCCUGAUCCAGCAAUGCCGCGUGAGUGAAGAAGGCCUUCGGGUUGUAAAGCUCUUUUGUCAGGGAAGAAACAGCAGCUCUAACACAGUAUGCGAAUGACGGUACCUGAAGAAUAAGCACCGGCUAACUACGUGCCAGCCGCCGCCGUAA